rnacentral:rRNA from 1 species
GACGAACGCUGGCGGCGUGCCUAAUACAUGCAAGUUGAGCGCUGAAGGUUGGUACUUGUACCAACUGGAUGAGCAGCGAACGGGUGAGUAACGCGUGGGGAAUCCGCCUUUGAGCGGGGGACAACAUUUGGAAACGAAUGCUAAUACCGCAUAAAAACUUUAAACACAAGUUUUAAGUUUGAAAGAUGCAAUUGCAUCACUCAAAGAUGAUCCCGCGUUGUAUUAGCUAGUUGGUGAGGUAAAGGCUCACCAAGGCGAUGAUACAUAGCCGACCUGAGAGGGUGAGCGGCCACACUGGGACGGAGACACGGCCCAAACCCCUACGGGAGGCAGCAGUAGGGAAUCUUCGGCGAUGGACGAAAGUCUGACCGAGCAACGCCGCGUGAGUGCAGGAGGUUUUCGGAUCGUAAAACUCUGUUGGUAGAGAAGAACGUUGGUGAGAGUGGAAAGCUCAUCAAGUGACGGUAACUACCCAGAAAGGGACGGCUAACUACGUG